AUUGAACGCUGGCGGCGUGCUUAACACAUGCAAGUCGAACGAAGUGGCGAACGGGUGAGUAACGCGGAUUCAACCUGCCCUUCCGAGGGGGACAACAGUUGGAAACGACUUCUUAUACCGCAUACUGAAGUAUGUGAGUUCGUUUGAUUAGCUAGUUGGAGGGGUAACGGCCCACCAAGGCGAUGAUCAGUAGCCGGUCGGAGAGGAUGAACGGCCACAUUGGGACUGGGACACGGCCCAGACUCCUACGGGAGGCAGCAGUGGGGAAUCUUCCGCAAUGGACGAAAGUCUGACGGAGCAACGCCGCGUGAGUGAUGACGGCCUUCGGGUUGUAAAGCUCUGUUAAUCGGGACGCGGUACCGAACUAGAAAGCCACGGCUAACUACGUGCCAGCAGCCGCGGUAAUUC
rnacentral:rRNA from 1 species